GGGGGAGAGACGAGAGAGAGAGAGAAACCCCAGAAACCCCCACCACCUCGAGCGAAUCGCUCGCAAUCGUCACCGGCCACCUUCGUCGCUGCCAUGGGAAAGUCAGCUGCACCAGGUAAAUGUAUUACUCCCAGGACAUGGGGGCAAAAAGUUGGAGGAAGGGAGGUGACCCGCGUCCGCACCAAUUCCAUGGGGUGCGGAGAAGAGGCACGGAACGCCGGCAGUUUCGGGAGAGGUGCCUGCAGGUUAAAGGUGAGCCCCACAGGUGGGCUCUUCCUGUUGGCGACACGAAAGAAGGAGGGACGUCAAUUCGACUUAGAGGAAAAGGGAGGAGGCUAGCGGGCUUGAGGCCCACUAGGGAGGGACGAAGCCGGCCGGGAGAAGAGAGAAGGGGACGGGCCCAAGGGAGGCGAAGUGGACUUAGUCCAAAUGGCCCAAAUAGAAAGAAGGAGAUUUUUAUUUGUUUUUCAAUUUAAUUAAUUGAUUAAGUGAUGUUUGUGCUUUUAAAAAUACUUCUUGACCUCCAAAAAUCCACGGGAAAUUCUAGAGACUAU